CCGGAGCUGGACGUGGGCGGCGGCGGGGCCUGAGGUCUGGGGCUCGGGCGGUGGGCGCUGCUCUGGCCGGCGCGCGUGGGCCCCGGCGAGGCGGCGCUGCAGGAGCUUUGCGGGCAGCUGGAGCGCUACCUGGGCGCGGCGGCCCACGGCUGUGGCGGCGCCACCGUGCGCGACGCUCUCUUCGCGGCUAAGGGCCGCGCGGCCGACUGCGAGAGCCCGCGCGAGUUUCGGGAGCGGGCCCUGCGCGCCUGAUGGGUCGAGGCGGACGCGCGGCUGCGUCAGGUAAGCGAGGCCGGGCCGCCGGCGUUUGACCGCGCUUGGGUGGCCUGGGACCCUGUGGGAGGCUUCCCCGGCGCCGAGAGCCCUGGCUGACGGCUGAUGGGGAGGAGCCGGCGGGCGGAGAAGGCCACGGGCUCCCCAGUACCCUCACCUGCGCGGGAUCGCUGCGGGAAACCAGGGGGAGCUUCGGCAGGGCCUGCAGAGAGGACAAGCGAAGUUAAGAGCCUAGUGUACUUGCCGCUGGGAGCUGGGCUAGGCCCCCAACCUUUGCCCUGAAGAUGCUGGCAGAGCAGGAUGUUGUAACGGGAAAUGUCAGAAAUACUGCAAGCAAACUGAAAACAACCCAUCCAUGUAGGAAAGAAUAACACGGACUACACGUUAUUCAAGGACACGGAAAAGCCAACACCAUGGUAGCAUUAAUGAAAGUUUACCAAGAGGAAGAUGAAGCCUACCAGGAAUUAGUUACCGUGGCAACCACGUUCUUCCAGUACUUAUUGCGGCCAUUUAGGGCUAUGCGAGAAGUUGCAACUUUAUAAGUCCUUGGAUGAGGAUGACCUAGGUCCUAGAAGGGUAGUUGCCCUGGAGAAAGAAGCUGAAGAAUGGACCAGACGGGCUGGAGAAGCUGUCGUCUCUAUUCAAGAUAUCACAGUGAAUUAUUUUAAGGAGACAGUAAAAGCAUUAGCAGGAGUUUCUGAUAUAUUGCACAGAAUCAACAAGAUAUAAAGCAGAAUGAUGAUCCUGGUUUUUUGGUCAAACUAUCCAUAUGAGCCUGUCUGUCUAGCUAGUCAUAGAAACAAUAUGGAAGCAAGUGUGCCAAAAUAUAAGAAGCAGUUGCCUCAACUAGGAAUGCAAAAAGAAAUGGAACAGGAUGUGAAGAGACUUGGCCAGGCUGCCUGGGCCACAGCAAUUCCCAGGUUGGAAAAACUUAAGCUAAUGCUAGCUCAAGAGACUCUGCAACUCAUGAGAGCGAAAGAAUUGUAUUUAAAUUGCAAAAGAGCUGAAAUUCAGGGAAAGAUGGAAGAUCUUCCAGAACAAGAAAAAAAUAUAAAUGUUGUAGAUGAAUUAGAAAUACAAUUUUAUGAAAUUCAGUUAGAACUAUAUGAAGUUAAAUUUGAGAUAUUAAAAAACAAAGAAAUACUGCUUACUACACAGUUGGACUCUCUUGAAAGACUUAUAAAAGAUGAAAUUUAGAAUCAAGUUCAAAACAAAAAACUCUUUGGAAUUUUGAUUGUGAUUUUGCUUAAAAUUAGAGAUUACUUUGGGGAGAAUAGUGGUCUUUGCAAUUUUGAAUCUUCCUACCCAAGAACUUGAAAAACAGGAUGAAGUUGUCUAUUACGAUCCAUGUGAAAGUCCAGAGGAACUUAGUCAUUGACUGUGGUGGGGCUGCAGGACGAUAAGAAUUCGGAAGUGAAAGAACUCAGAAGGCAGUGCCAGCAGCUGGAGUCUAUUAAACGGGGCAGGAUCUGUGUCAAAAGAGCUUCUCUCCAGAGUAGAAAGGAUCAGUGCAAAGAAAAUCAUUGGCUCAGAUUGCAACAGGCUGAAGAAAGCAUAAGAUAUUCUCGUCAGCAUCACAGUAUUCAGAUGAAAAGAGACAAGAUAAAAAGGAGCAAAAGAAAAAAGAAUGGGUCAACCAAGAACGUCAAACACUCCAACGAUUGAGAGCAUUUAAAGAUAGAAAUAAUGAGAGAGAUUGUCUCUCUUGAAGUUCUCAGUGCCUGUGCAUUGCUGCCACUACACAGCUAGUAUCAUGACAGCAGCUUCAGAACCAGAGCUGGCUUCCAGGCAAGGCUGGGUGGGGAAGAAAGAGAAAAACAAAAGAAUUAUUUCUCUAUGCCGAGACCAGCUCGGUCAGGGAGACCCUAACCUAGCGGUGCUAGAGGAAUUAAAGACAUAGACACAGAAAUAUAGAGGUGUGAAGUGGGAAAUCAGGGGUCUCACAGCCUUCAGAGCUCAGCCACAAACAGAGAUUUACCCACGUAUUUAUUAACAGCAAGCCAGUCAUUAGCAUUGUUUCUAUAGAUAUUAAAUUAACUAAAAGUAUCCCUUAUGGGAAACGAAGGGAUGGGCCGAAUUAAAGGAAUAGGUUGGGCUAGUUAACUGCAGCAGGAGCAUGUCCUUAAGGCACAGAUCACUCAUGCUAUUGUUUGUGGUUUAAGAAUGCCUUUAAGCGGUUUUCCACCCCGGGCAGGCCAGGUGUUCUUUGCCCUCAUUCCAGUAAACCCACAACCUUCCAGUAUGGGUGUUAGGGCCAUUAUGAACAUGUUACAGUGCUGCAGAGAUUUUAUUUAUGGCCAGUUUAUGGCCAGAUUUUGGGGGGCCUGCUCCCAACACUCUACAUAUGCUCCAUCUUGCAGAGGCUUCAUUCUUGGUUCUCUAGCUAAAAACAGUAGAAAUUUUGCACACCUGGGUUAGAAAAAAAAAAAAUAGCCAUUAAACCCACCCCUGUUACAGGUCACUAUUGGUAUUUUGAUUUUGCCUUCAAUCCAUCUGUUAUUGUUUACUUUUAAGAGUCCUUGAUAGUUGCUUUUUAUGUCCAGAGUUUUAAUUUCAGUCAGAAAGAGAAAUAGGCCUUGGUGAGCAUGCUUUGUCUUGGCUGGUGCCAGAAGUCAGUACUCAAAUAUUUUUAAAAUAAUUUUUAGUUGAAUAACAAGUUAGACCUGUGUUUAGCUUUCUCAUUGUUUUCCUAAAAAUAGAAGAAAAGGUUUUAAAUACUUUAACCACGAAAUAAUUUAAAGCAGGUUUAAAAUAAACUCCUUCAUUUUGCCUGUUCUAUUACUCUGUUCUCACACUGCUAAUAAAGACAUACCCAAGACUGGUAAUUUAUAAAGUAAAGAGGUUUAAUUGACUCACAGUUCCACAUGGCUGGGGAGGCCUCCCAAUCAUGGCAGAAGGUGAAUGAGGAGCAAAGUCACAUCUUACAUGGUGGCAGGCAAGAGAGAGAGCAUGUGUGCAGGGGAAUUCCCCUUUAUAAAACCAUCCAAUCUCAUGAGACUUAUGCAGUCUCAUGGGAGCAGCAUGAGAAAGACUCACCUCCGUGAUUCAGUUACCUCCCACUGUGUCCCUGCCACAACAUGUGGGAAUUGUGGGAACUAAAAAUCAAGAUGAGAUUUGGGUAGGAACACAGUCAAACCAUAUCUCCUAUAUACAUUCACACUAGCAUUUUAGUUUUAGAACUAGUUCUAUGUUACUAUCUGAAUUAAUUUUUCCACAAUUUUGUAAGGAAAAAUAAUGCGUUCUUUGAAUUUCAUGUGUAAAUGAUAUUUUUAGUUUUGUGUCAUUUUGUCAAAUAAAUUCUGAAAAUCUUUGUAUUGACAGUGUGUUAUCUCUGCAUAACCAUAUAUGUAUAAGAGUGCUCAAUAAAAAGAAUAAAGAGG
rnacentral:lncRNA from 1 species